UAAUAGCCCUGACAGUAGCGGCAUCCUGCCGACCGCAGGAAGGCAGAUACAGCGGAUGGCAGGAAUAUGG
rfam:Flavobacterium subsaxonicum WB 4.1-42 = DSM 21790 strain WB 4.1-42 contig25, whole genome shotgun sequence.